rnacentral:rRNA from 1 species
UUAACAAUAACUAUCUUAUAUAAAAGUACCCGAAAUAAAAAGAUCUAAAAAGUUAUAUGUAUAGCAGGUUAAAUUAAAUAUGUGGCAUAAUAUAAUUUUAAUAACUUUUUAGGGGAGAAAUUCCAACAGUUUUUAUGGUAGCUGGAUUAAAGGGAAAAGUAUUAAGUACUAAAAACAAUUAUAAAGUGAUAAGAUUUUAUAAUUUAAAUAAGAUGUUUUUGUUAGUCUUGGGGAUAACUCCCUGAAAGCUUAUUAGAAAUAACAUUUUUUAAAUAUAUCUUUUUAUUUAUCUACCUUUAAACUUAGAAAAAUUUGUAAUACUUAGUUUAUAAUGUUUAAAUUAGUAGCUAUGUUUAUAAUUUUUAUUAAGGAAUUCGGCAAAUUUUAUAUUCGACUGUUUAUCAAAAACAUAGUCCGUUGUUAUCUAUAAUGGAUAUUGACUGCCCGGUGAUUUUUAUUUAACGGCCGCAGUACCUUGACUGUGCAAAGGUAGCAUAAUAAUUUGGCCUUUAAAUGGGGUCUAGAAUGAAAGGAUUUACGAAUAGGAGCUGUCUCAAACUUUAACUAAAGAAAACUUAUUUAAAAGGUGCAAAUACCUUUAAGCUUAUAUAAUAGACGAGAAGACCCUUAGAAUUUAAUUUAAAAUAAGAUAUGUGCUUGUUUUGAUUUUGUUGGGGCAACAAAGCAGCAAUAAUUUAAUCUGCUUCUCUAUUAUAGAAGUAAGCCGACUAAUUAGUAUGAAUAUAUAAAUUACCUUAGGGAUAACAGCAUAAUUUAAUAAAGAUUGUGACCUCGAUGUUGGAUUAGGGCCUUAGUAAUUUAGCCAAUUAUUAUGUUAGUUCUGUUCGAACUAUAAAACCUACAUGAUCUGAGUUCA